CAAUGCUGAACCGGUCUUCGAACAGAAAAUCAUCCUCUUCCGCGUCAUCAGCGAGUGGGUGCUGCCCCUCCUCGUCGAUGCUGGAGCCAUACCGCUGCAUGAAGUCUUCCCUAACCCUCUCUAGGAAGACGAAGGGCACGCUCCGCCCGGUCGCCUCAUCAGCAACCACUAGGAACACUACAUCAAACAGGCAGCAUGUGCACAAUGGUGCCAAAGUCAACUCACGGUUGGACACCACAGCGUAGAGGGCGCAGCAAUUAAAGGAGGUGGGGAAAAGCACGGUACCGAAGCCGCGGUCGACGAGGAAGUUGAAGGUGUGGCCGUCGCAGGAGUAGGUGGAUCUCGUGCUGUUGGGGGGCAGCUUCUGGAGGCACUGGACGGCGACGGUGCUGAAGUUGCCGGAGAAGGCGGUGUGCUCCGCCAGCACAACGGAGCCCUUGGCCACGAAGCUGUAAAUCAGCGCCUGCUUGUUCAUGGCGCCCGG
rnacentral:lncRNA from 1 species